rnacentral:rRNA from 1 species
GACGAACGCUGGCGGCGUGCUUAACACAUGCAAGUCGAACGGUGAAGCUCCUUCCUUUUUGGUGGGUGUUGAUGAGUGGCGAACUGGUGAGUAACACGUGAGUAACCUGCCCCCUUCUUCUGGAUAACCGCAUGAAAGUGUUGCUAAUACGUGAUAUUCUUGGUCUGUCGCAUGAUGUGUCUGGGAUAGAUUUUGUUUCGUUGGGUGAUGUGCUCGCGACCUUUCAGCUUGUUGGUGGGGUGAUGGUCUACCAAGGCGGUGACAGUUAGCCGGCGUGAGAGGGUGGACGGACAGAGUGGGAGAGAGACACGGAACAGACACGGAAGGGAGGAAGAAGGAGGGAAUAGUGAAGGAUGGGAGCAAGACUGAGGAAGGGAGGCCGCGUGAGGGAGGGAGGCGGUUGGGAUGUGAACCUCGUUAGAGAGGGAAGCAGGCCUGCGUGGAAUGUGGGUGGGUUGACGGUAGCUGGAUAAGAAGCGACGGCUAACUACGUG